GAAAGAAUAAACACACAAGGGAUGAAGACUCCAGGGUGUGAAAACGAUGUAACGUUUACACGGGUCUACAUUCACUUGGACCUUGAUAACAUCAAGGAUCAUUGUGAAGACUACCAGCCUACAGAUUUUACGUAGACUUACACUCGUGAUUCCGACAAGUUCCUGACUGGUACCUGCACAUGAAUGCGCCUACCUGUGGCGACGUCGGUCCGCUCACCUUGAUGUACACACAGCACCCAGUCUAUUAUACAGCUACAUCGUGGGAGUCACUUAACACUUGACCCGCUGUG